AAAUGUUACCCCUUUUUUUUAAAGUUAGUUAAUGAUGUUUUUUUGUAAGCAAACAAUUCUGUCAGUUAAUGGCUUUAAUUUAUUUUAAAAGUUAUGACAAGGGAACUUCAGUUUUAUCUUUCGCAAAUUACAUUUAAUAAUUUUGUAUUGAAUUUGAAUUGAAUCGCAAUCAUGUUUAAAUCAAGUAUAAAACAAUGAAUUCAGUAGGAAUCAAAAAUUUUGCUCUUUUUAAUUUGUUCUUUAUACAUAGUUUUGUUCUUUGUUAUAUUCAAGCACAAUGAUAAUACUACCUUCUUUGACAUUUAUGUUGUUUUUAACGAGUAUUUUUAUACUUUGGACAAUUAUUUUCUGUAUGAAAGUAAUAAAAAAUUUAAGUAGAAUAUUUAAUUUCUUUAUUAAGUUUACUAACUAUAAUGUACACUUAAAAAUGCAACUUAAUUCACAAUAUUUGAAAGAAAAACUUUCUCCAUAUUUUUUUUAAAACUUACAAUAAAGCACGUUUUUAACUUUCUGUCUUUUUAUCAUUUAGAGAAAACCACCCAUAUGAAGUGUGUGAAGUUAUAUCUACUCCUAUUCAGCAAGGAAAUCCACCAUACUUGAAAUGGUUAGAUGAAGUUGUGCCUGAAAAGUCUUCGAAAAUAGAAUUGUAAUAAAGUGAUGUUUUGUUAAUAAAUGUUUGAUAAUUUUGAUAUUCAAAAUAAAUGUUAUGUAUAUUCAACAAA